GAGUUUGAUCAUGGCUCAGGAUGAACGCUAGCGGCAGGCUUAACACAUGCAAGUCGAGGGGUAGUUACUUUCGGGUAAUGAGACCGGCGCACGGGUGCGUAACGCGUAUGCAAUCUACCUUUUACAGGGGAAUAGCCCAGAGAAAUUUGGAUUAAUGCCCCAUGGUAUUAUAGAGUGGCAUCACUUUAUAAUUAAAGUUCCAACGGUAAAAGAUGAGCAUGCGUCCCAUUAGUUAGUUGGUAAGGUAACGGCUUACCAAGACGAUGAUGGGUAGGGGUCCUGAGAGGGAGAUCCCCCACACUGGUACUGAGACACGGACCAGACUCCUACGGGAGGCAGCAGUGAGGAAUAUUGGACAAUGGGCGCAAGCCUGAUCCAGCCAUGCCGCGUGCAGGAAGAAGCAUCUAUGGUGUGUAAACUGCUUUUAUACAGGAAGAAACACUCCCUCGUGAGGGAGCUUGACGGUACUGUAAGAAUAAGGACCGGCUAACUCCGUGCCAGCAGCCGCGGUAAUACGGAGGGUCCAAGCGUUAUCCGGAAUCAUUGGGUUUAAAGGGUCCGUAGGCGGUUUAAUAAGUCAGUGGUGAAAUCUGGUCGCUCAACGAUCAAACGGCCAUUGAUACUGUUAGACUUGAAUUAUAAGGAAGUAACUAGAAUAUGUAGUGUAGCGGUGA
rnacentral:rRNA from 1 species